AACAAGCCUAUUAUAUUCAGGACAGGUAAAGACACAUACAGGAUCUUCCCAGUAGGACCACAAAUCAUAUAUCAUGAUCGUUAGUAGAGAGAUAAUAUUUUUUAUAGUGUGAUUUCGUAAUCUGACUUAUGUGUUUUUGUGCAACUUGUCAAUGAUCUGAUCUCAGAAUCAAAAAAAGAUUUAUAUCUGAUUAUUACAAGAGCUGACAUGAGAUCGCAAAAUAGAUGAAUUGAUAAAUGUAAAAUGGAUAAUAGUCCUACGCAAGAAGUGAUUGAGGCAGAGAGAAAG